rfam:Paenibacillus yonginensis strain DCY84 chromosome, complete genome.
UAAGUCCCAUCAGGAUAAAGCCUAACCAGCCAUCCUGUAGCUAGUUCUUGAAGGCUAAACGGUAACGGAUAGCUUUAAGCGUAGAACAGCAAAAUAGCGGGCCGAAAGCGAAAGCUGAAGUGAUUGAGCCUCGAAAAAUUAGUCGAGAUCGGCCGAUGUAGUUACACAUACAGAAGGCGAAACUUGCUCAAGCGCAAUGGUGAGUUUGAGUAAGCACUCCGGGGUCUAAGAACU